UUAAAAAGCUCGUAGUUGAAUUUCGGGAUUAGUACGUUGGUCGUGCCUUGGGUACGUACUGGUGUUACUGGUUCCUACCUUCUGACGAACCAUCAUGUCAUUAAUUUGGUGUGGCGGGGAAUCAGGACUGUUACUUUGAAAAAAUUAGAGUGUUUAAAGCAGGCUCGCGCUUGAAUACAUUAGCAUGGAAUAAUGAAAUAGGACGUUGACCCUAUUUUGUUGGUUUCUAGGAUUGACGUAAUGAUUAAUAGGGAUAGUUGGGGG
rnacentral:rRNA from 1 species